rnacentral:rRNA from 1 species
GACACGGUAAGGAUUGACGGACUGAAGGCUCUUUCUCGAUUCCGUGGAAAGUGGUGCAUGGCCGUUUUUGGUUGGUGGAUCGAUCCGUCUGGUUAAUUCCGUUAACGAACGAGACCUCGGCACUCCGAAUAGCGCGGCGGACGUCGCGGCCUCCGGGCCGUCUUCCGCACGAGCUUCUUAGAGGGACCGUCCCCCGCCGGGGAAGGAGGUGCGAGGCAACGACAGGUCUGUGAUGCCCUUAGAUGUUCUGGGCCGCACGCGCAUUACACUGACGCGUCCAACGGGUGACUCCCGACCCGAAGGGGCCGGGGAAUCCGCAAGGCGCGUCGUGAUGGGGAUUGAACGUUGCAAUUGUUGUUCACGAACGAGGAAUUCCUAGUAGGCGCGGGUCAUCAACCCGCGCCGAUUACGUCCCUGCCCUUUGUACACACCG